UAUAUUUUGAGAAUAAGGCGGUAUAUUUCUGAGGGUCAGCCGUAUAUUUUAUCGGCACUGCAGAGCAUAGCUUUUAUCGCACUUUCAUAAAAUAAUAAUAAUAAUAACAGAUUAUUGGAUAAAAAAAUAAUAAUCUUAUGCCGCGAUAAAGACCAACAAAGAAAAUUACGCCUUUGGAGCUAGCGCUGACAUGCCUGAUAUCGAUAGGUGAUAUCCCAUAGAAGCGUUGAGGAGGAAAGAAGUUCGAACAUAGUGGCAAGGCCAACAUUAAAGGGGAAAAGGUUAGCAAGAGUGGCGCCACCUGGUCCUGGAGAGUGAGAGUUCCGCGCGCUCUCCGGAGCCGUUAUGAGAGAGGAUUUCCGAUCUCAUCCCAUAACGGAGUCCCGAAGUCAACUCACCCACACCCCAAAGAAAGAGAGCCACCAGCAGCCCAAAUCAGGCCAUGCCCUUGAACCUAGUUCAAGGUCGAUAGAAGAGAGCGAUGGGGAUCAGCGGCCCGGGAGCAUCAUACAGAGCAGCUAAGCAAAGAGGGAGUUCAGAGUAAAAAUUUCCCGCAACGGAGGAGCAUGCGCGCCGGUUGACGGAGAAAGUGACGUGAUUUUUUUAGUUUUGAAAGAAAAAGUGAGUGGGAUGAGGAUGGAGUAGUGGCCAUCACCCGAUAAAAAGAUAAAUAAAUCUGUGAUUCCAGGGGAUCAAGAUCAGUGAAACACCAGGAACUUUAGAGCUGACCAGCGGGACGGAAAGUAGACCCAAAAAGCACACAAGGAAUAGGUCACAGCUCCGUCAUCGUGGCUUGGUUUUGCUGGUCUCGAAGAAACUAUCCUGGCCACGUAGUGCGGGUCCCUCGCUCAUUUAGGGAGAGGAAAAAAUCAUCAAUCAACAUAUUUACUCCCAUUAUUUAUUUUUGCUGGACGUCUCCAUUUAUAUGUAUAUGUUAAUCCCCUAAUUUAAG